GGACUCUGGAUUCCUGGAUUCUGCACAACUGGUCCAUGGUCGUGAAAUCCAGAACAAACUGGUCCUGGUUUCUGGAUUCCUGGGUUUGUGUCUCCAGAUGAAUCCUCACCUUUGUCAAAGAACAGCCAUUUGGGUUUCCUGGGUCUCUUGUGGUAUUUUGGCAUGUCCACUUUUAAAAGUUCCCGGUCAGCAGAUUUCAGUUCCAAUCAUGGCGGCUCUUGCGCCACUGAUCUCAAAAGAAAAUCGGUGGAACGUGCUCUCAGAACCAGGCACAUAUGUCCCAGGCGAGAAAAAUGGAUCAGUUGAAAAGGAAAUAUAUUCUCCCUGGUUCCAAUAAAAUGGAGAUUCCAACAAGAACAAAGCAAUGGGAAAAGCACUGACAGAGGCCAACAAAAUUGAGAUUCAUCAGUCAAUCCAGGAUCUGCCAAGAGCCCAUAACAGUUCUGAGGUCUGGAGCCCCCUUAGUGGACUAUAUUAAUAAAGUCUAUCAGGAACUACAGAAGAAGUCGAUAUAACUGAGGACGAUUCUGAAGCUUGGGCUCCAUUCAGUUGACAACAAAGUGUGUCAGGAGCAGAAGUUUCUGUCAAUGUCUCUAGCCCUACUGGCUUCUGUGUUUGACUUUCACUGAAGUCACUUAAAAACUGUAAGUUAAUCAAAACUUUUUAUUCUUACACAUCAGAACCUGAAUCACAGUUCCUCUGACCACAACUCUGACAAUGGCUCUAAAGAUGCACACAGUGUUGGUGACAUUACCAUAAGUACAAUGUGCUUUCAACUUGGCAAUGAUCUGAGAACAGGUUACCAUAACCUUAACCAAACUGUUUUAUUUAUGUAACUUUAACCUUUAAUCUCAUCUUUACCUGUUUUGCCUGCAUUGCUUAACUCCUUACACUAAAAUGUUACCUUUAAUUUCCUCUUAACUAUUUUCAUAUGUAUCUGCUAGUUGCAGCUUCAUUCACAAACUACACACUUAUAGUAAAAUAUUCAAAGCCAAGAUGCCAUUGUUUUAUGGCUACAGCAUUACAUCAAAUAAUAAAUAUCUACAUGUCUUGUGCAUCAUUUCAUACACAUUUCCCUGUAAUUCAGCACUAUUUGGUAUCUUUGGAAACCUUGAGAUCUCCCCUAAAAUUUAAAAGAAAGUUCUGUGGGUUUAAACAAAGCUUAGCUGCACAGCGAUGACGAACCAAACAACUGGACAAGCAAGUCUGAAUUAACCCUUAACACUUACCUUAAACCAAGGAUUAAAUGAUUGAGUCAACUCUGUUUUCAUGUGAAAAAAACUGAAUAGUGAACAGGGCAAAGGGGAUCUUCGCACUAUAUUGUUGUUUUAUAGCCUAUGUAGGCUAACACAUUUAUUGUUUUUAUCCUUAUUUGUUUUAAAUUAUUCAGGAGAAGAAGUCUCUAUAUGUACCAGUUAUAAUGUGUGUAGAUGAUGCAAUGCAUGCUUCAGUAAAAGCAAAGCAUAAGCCUUUUCUUGUGUGAAUGUGUGUGAUGAAGUUGUUUAAUUUUAAAAUUAGUAAAGACUUGAUCAUUGUUCUCAACAAACAGAACUUGAUGGGCCAUGAUGUUGAAAACUCUGAAGAUGCUCAUGAUGCCCAACACAUGUAUACAAGUAUAAGUAUAUGAAUGGGUUAGUUUCAUAGAUGCUAUAUGUAAGUCACAGUUUUAUUUCAGCAGACUGAGUUUUACAAAUAAGACAUUCUGUUUUGUCACACACCAGAACUUGGAUCAGUUAAAAUCAGGUUCUAUUGAUCAGAUUUAGUCAGAAUUAGUCAUUCAGGAUCAUUGCCUUUGUCCCACUUAGCUGGUUGAAGAUUUAAAAAAUCCAAAUUCACAAGCUGCCUGCUUUUUGCAUCUAAAUUAGUAUUAGUUUUAGUCUCAUGUCCUAAAAACCCAGGUAGUUCCUCUGAAAUGUUAAUUUCCUAUGUUGCAAAAUGAAUUUGUUAAAUGUUUGUGGGGGUAUAUGGAUCACAAUUUUUAUGUCUAUGUUUAAUGCAUUUCUAUUUUUUAUUGUUUUUGUCUCUUAUGUAAUUUUCAAAUAAUAUUUCUGAUCAGAAUUGACCUUUUCUUUUCUCCCUAUAGAUAUCCUGUAGAUAUCCUACAUCCCCACUCUUAUUUAAAGAUGAAUAUUACACAGUGUGAGAUCUUCACUUCAGUGAUCUACCAAAUUUGAGCCCAGCAUCAGAGUCAUCAAAUAACUUCAUUCCUGAUAACUUGGAUUACAGUGUUGGUAUCGGUGUGUUUGAACCAAGGCAGUCUUUUACUGACUCUGACUCUGAAUCCAUUCUUGGCAGUGGAGAACAAUUUUCCCUUGUAUAUGAAGACAAUACUGAUAAGUCAGUAAAUGGGGGAUCACAUUUGGGAGAAGUCACUAAUGAAAAGGUUCCUCAGGUAAAUGAACAGCCACUUUACACUGGUUCAUGACCAACCAAAGCUCAGAGUUUUUGACUUACACUCUUAUUUGUUUUGACACACACAUUCACGUUGCCCUCUCUGAUCUGAUAGAUUAGAUUAAUAUCCACUGUCCAGAAAACACACUGUCAACCUCAAAGCAUCUGUUCUUAAAAGAGCUUAACUCAAUACAAGGUCACCUACAAUGUCACAUAUACUGUCCAAACUGUGAGUAUUACAUUGGUGAAAAGGUUAGUGAAGGGCAGUGUACUGUAUGCAACACAUGGGAUAAAAACAGCUCACUGAAGAAUGGAAACUUCUUCAUAUACUUACUAAUCCAAACACAGUUGGAACAUCUUCAAAGAGAAGAUAAUGAAUGUUGUCUCAAGUCAGAAAAUGGCACAUGCAAUUCUGAAAAUUAUGAUGAUAUAUGUAAUGGUAAAAUGCAUCAUAAUCUGAACAAAAAUGGAGGUCUGCUUGAUCGUCCUCAUGGAUAAUCCACUCUACACUCAACUGCAAUGUUGUGCCUGUAUUUAAAUGAUCACUGUAUAGUAUUUGGCCAUAACAAGGAAUUGUGCACGAGUUUCCUUACCCUGUGCGCAAAGAAAAUGUUUUACUUUUUGUCUUGUGAUUUGGCAAUAAAAAGCCAAACAUUAGUACAUUUUUAAAGCCAUUCACUAUAGAGUGUCAGAGGUUGUCAACUGUGGGCUUUAAGUUAAAAAGAAACAGCAUUUUGGAACAAUGUAGACUUGUGGCAGCUCUUAUGAUGUGUGAUUCAGUUGCCAGGCCCAUACUAUAAAACAUGACCCAGAUGCAGCCACUGCCUACUGUGGUGGAAAACUGCCUUUCCAUGAUCAAACGAAUAUGCCAGUGAGAGUGUAAAGAUAGCAUUAUGCCAGUAAGAGACAGUUCCCAAGGAGUUAGCAAGACGGUUAACCUGUGGUAUAGCAAUUUGAUUUUCUGUGUGAAAUGAUUAAAGGCCGCAAGGUCCAUUUUAAGUGUGAGAAAAAGAUGGAAGAUGCUGACGCAGUAAUUUCUGAGUCACACUUGUAUUAUCACCAAAGCAUCAAGGUCACUCAUGAACUCAGAAAUAAUGACCAGAUGUAUGCAUUUAAUUAAAAAUGAGGCGGAGACUAGAAACUAAGCUCCACAGUAGGAGGAGUUAUGAAAAGUAUAUAAUAUGAGGUUUCAUGAUUUUGCAUCAGGUUUUUCUUUGUCCCGGGACAAAG